CUUAACCUCGGGAKGGCGCUUACCACUUUGUGAUUCAUGACUGGGGUGAAGUCGUAACAAGGUAACCGUAGGGGAACCUGCGGUUGGAUCACCUCCUUA
rnacentral:rRNA from 1 species